rnacentral:lncRNA from 1 species
GCGCUGGGUUCGAUCCUCAGCACCACAUAAAAAUAAAGACGUUGUGUCCACUGUAAACUGGAGAAAAAAAAAAAAAAAGACAUGUAGUUGGGCAUGGUGGCACACUCCUGUAAUCCCAGCUACUCAGGAGGCUUAGGCAGGAAGAGAACAGGUUCAAGGCCAACCUGAACAACUCAGCAAGAUCCUGUCUCAAAUUAAAAAAAAAAAAGAUUGAGGCUGCUGCUGGGUAGUAGAGCACUUGCCUGGAAUGUGCAAGACCCUGGUUUUAAUCCCUAACACUGCAAAAAAUAAUAAAUAGAUUAAGAAAUUAAUAAGCAAAUAACAGAUGCAUGGUUAAACAAAACAAGAACAAAAUACCUUACCCUGCUACAUUGCUCCUCCUUGACCCCUCCAUCCCAAUUCUCCUUCAUCUCAGGCCCCUACCCAGAACCUAAAGCACAAACUGGACUGGACUGGCACAUUCUGAGUUCCCCAGAAUUUGCCUUCCUUCCUCCUUGACUGCCCACACUGUUCCCUCUCCAGAAUUGCCUUCUCCUCUCCUCUGAUGAACUCCUACAGGCCUGUCUGUCCUCAGUUCCUGCCACCUCCCUCCAUGAGGAUUGGAAGUAGGACUGACUAUCCCAGAGCUUGGAAAAAGAACAAAAUAGGCAACAAAUUCAGCAACUCAAGGAGGAUUAAAGCUGGCCUGAAGAGACUGGCGGAACUGAAACUGGCCUGGAACACCUAGUUGGAAAGCUCCAGAUAAUCUGGUGAGUGCUAGGGAUACAGUGGUCAGAUCUAUAUAGACCUGGGCUGGGAAGAGGCUGGGCUGCAAUUGCCAGGAUGAGGCAAGGAGUCAAGGAUUGGGGUGGGAGAUGAGGCUUUGUCCAGUCUCCCCAACCUAGGGAAUCUUCCAAUCUACACUUCCGAUGAAAAAAUAACCAUGCUGCUGGGGACAUCAUUCAACAUAGAUCAGAUGAUGGUCAUGCUGUACCAGCCUCUCAAUGUUUACUGGGAUUAGUUAUUUAAAAUGAUGUCUCCCCAACAGGAAAUCCACCUCAGCCUUUAGGAAAAAGGCCAGAAUCUUGUUUCCCACCAGAACAAAGUUCAGCGAGGGACCUUGUAGACAUCAGACUGGCCUCCAGGGGGCAAUAGUGUCAACCCCAACAUUAGCUAUUGAAGUUCCUUAUUUUCUUAGCUAAAAAAGGACCUUCAGCCAGCACUGAAAAUCACACCAUGGAAAACACACAGCCACAAAAGCCCUAUGGGAUGGAGAAUGCCUGUAAUCCCAGAAACUGUAAAGGCUGAGGCAGGAGGAUGGCAAGUUCAAGGCCAGUCUUAGCAGCUUAGUGAGACCCUCAAAACUUAGCAAGACACUGUCUCAAAAAAGUUCUAAGGAUAAAUUCCCAUUAAUUUGGUCCUCAGUACCACAAAAAUGAAAUAAAAAUUAAAAAAGGACCUGCAUACCUCUUCUUGGAAACCCUAGGGUGAUAGAAGUAGGGAACGGGAAACUGACAGAAGGGAGUAAAGGUAAAGAAGUCCAGGACAAGCUUGCUGCAUGGUGGGGUGCUCUAGGACUGGAGGUGCCUAGGGAUUCAUCUUUCCCAAACUAUAUGCUGAUUCCUGUUACUGCUUCUCCAAUCUCAACCCCCACCCUAUUUUGGGGGUGUCUGCUGGAUCUGGAGUCUCUCAACUACCCCAGGUCACCUCACCACAUUUGGUACUGUAAAGGCUGCUAGAAUGCUGUUGCCUUUCUAAAAUGAAUCUUGGGGCAAGAUCAGGACAACAGGCUGCCCAAGGCUUAGAGCCUUCCUGGGUCCUCCUGGGCUCUCUAGUCCACAUGCACCAACCCCAAACUGGAGGACCCUUUAUGAGGCACUUUUCCUAGACUGCUUUUUUCUAUGAAGAUCUUGCAUCUUCUGCCCUUUGGGACAGCAAGAACCUUGAGCCCAGACCCCAGGGCCAAGAGUGUCAUGAUAAAAUUGCCCUAUAUCAGGGACUGUACUUGUACCAUGUCAGAAUGUCUCUUGAGGUUAUCAGCCUCCUCAGGCCCCCACUGUCUUGGCCCCACAGUUUAAUCACUGGCACCCCAAACUCAGCAGCCUGCACCCCACUUCCUGAGUACCCCCUAUGUUCCCUGCCUGGCUCUGCACCUGUGAGGAUGUCCUGACAGCAGUCCCAGAGGGAGGACACUACAAUUAUACCAUGUGUCCUAGGGAAGCUGGGGCAGAGGGGUUCACUGACUGCCAGUAUCACAGAGAGGAACCUGAAUUCUGCACUGGAGACCAUGCAGCCUUGGCAGGCCUCUACCCUACUACUCCCACACCUCCACAUUUUAGUCCAGCACAGCAGAACAAGCCUGACAGGGUUCAAGUCUUGGCUCUGCCAUGUUCCAGCUUUGUGGCCUUGGGGAGUCCCCAAGUUUUAGGGCUGGGAUGUGGCUCAGUAGUAGAGCACUUGCUUAGCAUGUAUAAGAACCUAAGUUCAAUCCCCAGCAUUGCCAAAACAACAAUAACAACAACAACAAAAAGGAACCUUAGUUUCCCCAUCUAUAAAAUGGAGAUGAUACAAAGAGAGCCUUCCUCUUGGGUUAUUGUGAAGGUUAAAAGAAUAAAUGCAUGUGUGGGCUGUGGCUGUGGCGCAGAGGUAGAGCGCUUGUCUUGCACAUGCGAGACCCUGGGUUCGAUACUCAGCACCACAUAAAAAUAAAUAAAGAUGUUGUGUCCACGGAAAACUAAAAAAGUAAAAAUAUUUUAAAAAAUCUAUCUUAAAAAAAUUUAAAGGGGCUGGGGAUGUAGUUCAAGUGGUAGCGCGCUUGCCUGGCAUGCGCAGAGCGCUGG